CCUACGGGAGGCAGCAGUGAGGAAUAUUGGUCAAUGGGCGGGAGCCUGAACCAGCCAAGUCGCGUGAGGGAAGACGGUCCUAUGGAUUGUAAACCUCUUUAGGCGGGGAGCAAUGCCGGGCACGCGUGCCCGGAGGGAGAGUACCCGCAGAAUAAGCAUCGGCUAACUCCGUGCCAGCAGCCGCGGUAAUACGGAGGAUGCGAGCGUUAUCCGGAGUUAUUGGGUUUACAGGGUGCGUAGGCGGAUUUUUAAGUCAGCGGUAAAAUGUCCGGGCUCAACCCGGGCCGGCCGUUGAAACUGGGGAUCUUGAGUGGGCGAGAAGUAUGCGGAAUGCGGGGUGUAGCGGUGAAAUGCAUAGAUAUCACGCAGAACUCCGAUUGCGAAGGCAGCAUACCGGCGCCGGACUGACGCUGAGGCACGAAAGCGUGGGGAUCGAACAGGGUUAGAUACCCGUGUAGUC
rnacentral:rRNA from 1 species